UUUUUUUUUCUUUCUUCUUUUCUUUUUCUUUUCCAUCUUAUCUUUUUUUUUUUAAGGAGUUUGUCCUAAGACUUUCAUUAGCUCUGCUGAAAAGUCAACUGUCAGUCUUAUUGUUGCUUUCAAUUGAAGUGGAGCGCUUUCUCUCUCUUUUAGGAUGCCUUCAAGGUUUUUGUCUAGCUUUUAUAUUUGUACUUAGUAGGUAAGACAGUCUGCAAUUAUGUAGCCAUUUUCCCAAGAUAAAUUUUACAUAUUAAAUGGCUUUGGUUUUCCACAGAUGAUGUUAGAGACAGCAGGUAGAGGUAGAGGGAAUGAAGGGAGAUCAAAUCGAGAGAGGUUAAGCUAGAGGAAGUAGCUUCACCUAAGGUGAGUAGACCCUAGACAAUCGGCAGAAUGCUGGGCCAAAGGAAAGACACAGGGGGCAGGAUGGCAUUUUCUGAAGAUAAAUGACCCCAGAAAUUCAGACACUGUGAUAUCCAAUAUUCAUUUUAUGUCUCUAUUGUGUUGUAUUUCCCUUAAGUAAGUGAGUCCAGAGAGGAUAAUCAGCCUGUCCAUCAAACAGCCAGUCAGAGGGACAGGCUGACAUUCAAACUCAUGCUAGUAGACUCUAGAUCCCACACUUUUAGCCGCCGAACUAUAUUAAAGAUCAGAGGCUUUUACACUUUUCUUAUGACAAAUCAUAACAAGAAAUACAUUUUGAAUCUAUACACAUACAUUAGCAACCAAAACAAAUCUUCCACUAAUAAAUGUUGCCCAUAUUACCCGUGAUGCACCAUGAGAUUUCUACUGUGUUCUUUUCUAUUCCAUUCUGUUCCAUUCCAUUUCAUUCGCUGGAUCAACAUAAGUGGGUUGGGCCCUGGCUUCAAAUAAAAACCACUGCUAAAGACGGGAACUUACCUUAAAGGUUAAAAAAAGGACAUAACUCUGAUUAGCCAAGAAAAACUCAGAAAGCGAGAAGGAAGGGCAAAAAUCCACAAAAAAACAAAAAACCAAAAAACUUCUUUUUGUCUUUCAGGAAUUUUAAUAAUAAAACAGCUUUGGAUCACCUAUUUUAGAUUCUUCUAGUAGACAGCCCCCAGUAGAUUCUUUAACUUUUCAAAUGGCAUUGAAAAAGCAAGGAAGUUAAUUUUACCUCUUUGGGAGGCCGUCUCAGUCCUAUCUAUCCAUUGGAGGGCAGGGCAGCCACUCAAUAAAUGUCUGUUGCAUGAGUCAAGCAGAGGGUCAGACCGGGGUGUCUCAGAGCCCUCCCUGCUCUUCUAUUCUCUAGUAAGCCACUGAAUGAAGAAGGCUGCCACAUUUUUCUCUGGGUCAAUAUCAACAGCAAAACAAUAUCCCAGAACGGUCAUUUCUGGGACAAUAAACAGUUUUCCAGAGCUGCUAUCUUAGGCCUCUCUGCCACAGAGGGAUUAAAGAGAAAUGCAACCCCGCCCCCCCCCAGAGUUUCCUGUCCUGUCUUGUGGUUGACUUAAAACAUUUUCAGCUCCCGCCUCCCCCUUUCUCACCAUCUCUCUUCAUGGUUAAAGAGGUUAUAAAUUUGCAAAGGAAAUGAUUAAGCAAAUCCAGAGAUCUUGGCCAUGGGACCUGAUUUUUCAAGGCCUUAGUUUUUGAAAGCUGAAGAAAUCU
rnacentral:lncRNA from 1 species